CCUUUAAUUGCCUACAUAGCCUAUAAGUGUUCAAGCGCACGCACAAAGCUUGUGUCAGUGAAAAACAGUAAGGAGGCUGCAUUUGUAAUGGGAUUAAAAUAAGGAAGUGGUGUUGGUAUAAGGAGGCAUUUUGAUAUGUGUGUAGGUAUGUUUUUAUUUUGUUAUUGAUUAGUGUUGAUGUAUUAUGGUUGCUCGUGCUGACGAACCCUUUGUGACAGACUAAUUUGGAUCCCAGUGUGAUAGGCUGGAAUAUGAAUGGGUGGAGAUUGUUGCCCUUUAAGAGCACGCUGCUGAGACUGAGACAGCGGGUUCUACAUGAUGACGAUCCAGCACGCGUUGGUUACAGUGUCGUGGUGCGUAGCCGUGGCAUGUGAGAAGGUGUAAGAAGAACGCGUGGUUAAGAGAACGCAGAAAAAACAACUCAAAGGAGUGUAUGGAAGGCGAUACAGAGGAAUCCCUCUACAACCGUGUUAGAAGUGUGAGUGGAUCGGGUUGCAGUGAGCAGACGACGACGCAGAGGAGUCACGUUUACACUGCUCGAAUUCGUCUAGACUGGGUAGCGGAACUGCUACCCGGUCCUAUUGUGAGUACGACUCCAUCAACUGGGUUAUUGAAGAGAGAUUGGUGGAUAAUGACUCUGUGCUUAUUCUAUAUCAAUUGACCUUUAACUAGUAGAGACUGUGAUAACUAAUUGCCAGUGGACUAGCCAAUAAUUUUCUUUUGUGUUAGUGUUGUGAAACGAGGUUUUGAGUGUUUAUUGUGCUGUGACUGGUUAUUGGGUGCACUUGUUUGAUGGGUUAAAUUGGACCGGGAUACUGGCAGUUGCUUCUAUCUGUUUUCCGGUGUGCUACUGCCAAAAGCUGUGGAGGUUCCUUUGACUGUGGGACCGAAUCAAGGAGGACGCAGCCUUCUAAAUGAGACACAGCCUAUAUAAGCUGCGGUCGUCACGUGACGCGCACAGCCGGACUCUGAUGGACGUCGCCUGACGGAGAGCUUUCACGAGAUUGUCAUCCGAUUGAUCUGCUGCACCCCAAAGCCUCCACAGCACAGUCACAAGUCUUUGGCUUUUGUGCUGGAUGGAGAAACUGAGAAGUUUAUAAACAGAUGGCAUGGAAGAAGAGAGCAGGUCCUAAAACAAAGAAAUUCUUCUUAAGGAUAAACCUGAGGUCCUGGGAGUUCUUAGAGGUUCUAAAGUGUUUUUUAUGCAUUUGUUGAUUUCAAUAAUAA